rnacentral:snRNA from 1 species
AGAGAUCCCUAGCUAGGGAGAUACCAUGAUCACAAAGGUGGUGGUUUUCCCAGGGUGAGGCUUAUCUGUUGCACUCUGGAUUUGCUGACCCCUUUGAUUUCCCCAAAUUCAAGAAACUUGAGUGCAUAAUUUGUGGUAGUGGGGGACUGUAUUCGCACUUUCCCGUG